AGUGAACGCUGGCGGUAGGCCUAACACAUGCAAGUCGAACGGCAGCACAGUAAGAGCUUGCUCUUACGGGUGGCGAGUGGCGGACGGGUGAGUAAUACAUCGGAAUCUACUUUUUCGUGGGGGAUAACGUAGGGAAACUUACGCUAAUACCGCGUACGACCUACGGGUGAAAGCAGGGGAUCUUCGGACCUUGCGCGAUUGAAUGAGCCGAUGUCGGAUUAGCUAGUUGGCGGGGUAAAGGCCCACCAAGGCGACGAUCCGUAGCUGGUCUGAGAGGAUGAUCAGCCACACUGGAACUGAGACACGGUCCAGACUCCUACGGGAGGCAGCAGUGGGGAAUAUUGGACAAUGGGCGCAAGCCUGAUCCAGCCAUACCGCGUGGGUGAAGAAGGCCUUCGGGUUGUAAAGCCCUUUUGUUGGGAAAGAAAAGCAGCAGGUUAAUACCCCGCUGUUCUGACGGUACCCAAAGAAUAAGCAUCGGCUAACUUCGUG
rnacentral:rRNA from 1 species